rnacentral:lncRNA from 1 species
UAGAGGUAAAUAAAUUCUACCACUCAAAUGUUGUUGUGGUGAUGUAGAUUGGAUUUCUGUUUAGGUCAUCCAUGUGGAGGAGUUUAAGUUGGGAGGAGAUAAUAAGAUGAGGAAUGGUGUGUGAGUCGAGUGUAAGUGAGGGAAAGAAGGAGGGAGGCAGCCGAGAUGGAGUUAGAUCGAGGUAUAACGAGAUUUGUGGUCGAUUUUGCCAGUGAUGGACCGACAUCAGUAUUGGACUAGGCGCCGUUACCAGCAACGGUAGAGUAGGAUGUCACUCGAUAUUAGUAUUUAUUCAUUAUCGUGUGUAUGGUGUGGAUACUGUGAGUAGUGUGGCGUGUGUGUGUUGUUGCUGUGUGUGCGUGUGUGGCCCGGAGUAAGCCGAUGUGUGUGUGUGUGUGUGGUCGGGGAAGAUCAGUGUGUGUGGCCACAAGAAGGCUGGUAUAUGCGUGUGUGGCAAUAUACUGCUAAUAUGUGUAGCUAAGGAAAAGUCAAUGUGUGUGUGUGACAAUUUACAGUCACUGUGAUUAUGGGUAAAGGAGGGUUAAUAUGUGUGUGUGUGUGGCUGUAUAUUGCUAGUGUGGGUACGUGUGUGGCCAACCAAAGACCGGUGUGUAAUUGAGUAGAGCCGACAACGGAGUGGUGAAAAUUGAGUGUGUGUGUGGGGCUAGCCAGGGCCGAUAUGAUGUGUGUGUGUGGCUAAAAAGUCAGGAUCUGUGUGUGGCUAGAUUGAGGUCGAUGAGUGGGUGUGGGUGGCUGAUUAGGACCGUGGUUAGAAGCAGUGUAGGUAGUGGGAUUAUAUGUGAAUGAGUGGUGUUGGGGCAAAACUAGAACUAGAGUGGAACCAGAAAUGGCAGGAUAAGGUUAGAAUGUGUGGUAAGAGGAGUGUAAGGAUGGGGGUUAGAUGUAACACUAGGCUAGAUGUUCAAACUGUAUUUCCAUACUAUGUUUGAGUAUUUAAAUUAUUUUACUGAGCCAGUAUGUGUUUAUUAUAUGUCUAUUGCAGAUGCAGUAAGAAUGGAGGUGGAACUAAAGUCCCAACCCGUAGGACUAGGCCUAGGAGGAACGAGCAAAUAAGAAGAUGAAUAUUUAUUGGAUUGUAACGAACAUCCAUUCAUUUUAGACUCUUGUAGUAAAUAGAAACCCUUCCUAGAUU